UGCAUUUGUAUAUAAACCCACCAAACUCCUUUUCCUCUACCAAUGAGGGACAAUCUCAUUAAAAAGAGAGGGAAACUUAAAAUUUUACUCAAAAUUUCCCUCCAUUUCCCAUUCAUCCUCUUUUUAAUACCUUUCCAUAUUAAAAAGAAACUCAACAAUAACAUGAGAGGAGAUAAGGGUGUUGUUGCUAUUUCUGAACUUGUGAAGCACUCGCCAAUGUUGGAGGAUUUAAGGUGUUCAUCUAUAAUGAUUGGAAGGUGUAUACUCUUUUUCACAAGGAGUUGGAGUAUGCACCAGCUUAAUGAACUUUGAUUGGCAUGAUAAGAUGUUCACUGAUGAAGCUGGAAUUGUGUUGAGAUAAGUCAUAUCAAGUUUGAAGUAGAUACUCUUCGUAAUAAGGCGAUAUGAUCCUUUUUGAAACAAUAAUUGGUCAUCUACUUACAUUUGACGUUUCAUCUUACUAUGAAUUCUGAGAUUUAUAAAACAUUAGUAUUUGAAAUGCCUCUCUGUAGUGCCAUUAUGAUUGAUGAGAUAGUGUCAUUUCAAUAAUGUGCUUUGUCUUUUUCCCUUUGCGAUCACAUGUGAAUGCCAAUAUUGAUUUGGACAAAUAGGAUGACAACUAAGAUAAGAGUGCACAUUUACUCUUAGUACACUCAUGUUCUACGCUUCAUAUUCUGAAAUUUGGUAAAAGAACUACUGCAACAGGUUCCUAAAAUCACACAAAUUCUUCCAUGCUGCCUUUUAAAAUGCAGAAAGAGGAAAUUAUCAGUAGACAGGCUAAAUCAACUAUCAUUCUUAUGCGCUUUCAUUAGCCUAAUAAUUCAAGCAUUUAGGAACUCUUUAAAAAGUUUAUCCUCUUCUACAAUUUUUUUGCGCAAUUUACCAAAGAAGAUUCCCAUAUAUUCUUCUGCAGUUCUGUUUUACCACAAGCAUAGAUGCCCUUCAUUGUCUGGACUAUGCAGUUCUAUCGGGCCUGCUAAUUUCCUAAUUCAUUUGGAGUCUAAGUAAAUAAUUCUCCCACUUAGAGAAUUAACAACUUCUAACUGCAACAUCCAUCUACUCCAUUGCAUGCUCCUUUCUAUUUGCUUCCAAUAUCUUCCUGCUACUGUACUUAUGCUUAGCAGAAUUUACGCUCCGCUGGUAUGUGUGGCGUAAUAAGCUCUGUGGAUUUUCACCUAAGUGUGAUACUUUGUAAGUCUUACAAAAUACCCAGCCAUAUAGUAUGUGACAUCUUUUAUAACAAUUCCUUCUUCAUUUCUCUCAUGUUCCUAGUAAUUUCAUUUAAUAAGUACUUGUACUUUCAACUACUUUCUGCUGCUCAUUAAGUUUAUAUGGGUAAAUCAGUUGGUCUUUCUUAACUGGAACCAUGUAAACAUCAUUUAUGGUACUAGAUGUAUAGCCAAAGUUUUCUCCUUUAAUUCCUAUAUCCGUAGCUGGGUAUGUAAUAUAUUGUUUCUGCAGUUUUUUAAACAAAAUACUCAGUCUCUUAGGUAGAGUUUUUUUCACUCACAUUGGAUAUAACUUAGGAGAAAAAUAUGUUGAAAUGAAUUUUUGAGCAAUUUUGAUGAACUUUAUAUGAUCGAAUAGAAUGAUAAAAAUAGAACAAAAGAAAAAGAAGAAUGUCUCUAGAAACCAAGAUCUGCAGGUGGAAAUUUAUAACUUCUAGAGAUCGUUCAUCUAGCAAGCACUCCACAUUCUUUUUGGCCAAUUUUGGCUCUCCUAUAGAACUUGUACAUACUGCUGAAAUUAUUCUCAUUGUAUACCCUUUGGAUAAGUUGAUAUAUAUCUGAUUUUCUAGGAAUAGCAACUUUAUAUGCACUUUUAUCUGGAGUAUAGACCUAUUAAAUUUUGAUAUAUUUCCUCUCAAUUUCCAUUGUAAAGAAUGUGCAUGCAGUAUGAGCUAAAGUACUAACAUUAGUUUUAGUGAACACAGGAAUUCAAGGCUGCUUUUGCUCGCUGUCUCCUCAAAUACCAGCUCAUCAACUACUAAGAUUUUGUCUCUAUUAUUGCAUGUACCUGCAAGAAGUAUAGAAUUAACCUCCACAAAUGUCAACUGUGCUACUUUGACAAUCUCUAGGCAGACUUAUGCAAAUGGCAAUGUUUUAGAUAUAUGUUUUCUCAAUUUCACCAACUCUAUAUAUGCACUACUGUUUUGAAUAUAAACUAACACUCUUUUGAAGGAACUUAUUUUCAAGAUACCUGCGGAUGUCUGGUACAUCAAAAUCUCCCUAUGUUGUGGUUUUUGGACUGCAGAAAAAUGACUAUUAAGCUUGGAAUUUAGCUCCAGCUCAUUGCUGAGGAUGGGUUACUUAAAAGAUACAAACUGUACUUAUAUUUUGGGGUAUUAUAUGUCUAAUGCUUGAAGAUGGUUUUACCAGACAAUAUACUUGUGCCUUCUGCACAUGUUGUAAAUAUGUUGAAGUAUGCUACUACAUCUUGUGCUCAAUCAACUUAGAUGCUUAAUGUUGGUAAUUUAACCAAGUAACUGUUAGUGUUAUGUGAUGAAAA